rnacentral:rRNA from 1 species
UUAAAUUAGUAAGGGCGCAUGGCGGAUGCCUUGGCACUAGAAGCUGAUGAAGGACGUGACGAACAACGAUAUGCUUCGGCGAGCUGUAAGUAAGCUUUGACCCGGAGAUUUCCGAAUGGGGAAACCCAGCAGUAGUAAUGUACUGUUAUCCUAUCAUGAAUACAUAGUGAUAGAGAAAGCAACCUGGCGAACUGAAACAUCUUAGUAACCAGAGGAAAAGAAAGAAAAAUCGAUUCCCUUAGUAGUGGCGAGCGAAAAGGGAUUAGCCCAAACCAAUCUUCGGAUUGGGGUUGUAGGACCUCUAUAUAAGAGUUAUAAAUUCUUUUUAUAGUUGAAUUCAAUGGAAAGUGAAACCAUAGUAGGUGAAAGUCCUGUAAGUGAAAUAAAAAGAACUCUUUGAGGUAUCCUGAGUACAACGGAUCACGUGGAACUCUGUUGGAAUCCGCGGGGACCAUCCCGCAAGGCUAAAUACUCUCUAGUGACCGAUAGUGAACAAGUACCGAGAGGGAAAGGUGAAAAGAACCCCGGGAGGGGAGUGAAAUAGAAUACUGAAACCAUGUGCUUACAAAAAGUCAAAGUCCGUUAAUGGAUGAUGGCGUGCCUUUUGCAGAAUGAACCGGCGAGUUAAUGUUGCAUGCGAGGUUAAGUAGAAGAUACGGAGCCGAAGCGAAAGCGAGUCUUAAUAGGGCGAAAUAGUAUGCAGUAUUAGACCCGAAACCGAGUGAUCUAGCCAUGAGCAGGUUGAAGUUUGGGUAAAACCAAAUGGAGGACCGAACCGACGUACCCGGAAACGUGCGCGGAUGACUUGUGGCUAGCGGUGAAAUUCCAAUCGAACUCGGAUAUAGCUGGUUCUCCCCGAAAUAGGUUUAGGCCUAGCCUUGAGAUUUAGCACUGUGGAGGUAGAGCACUGAAUAUAUGAUGGCCCCGUCUAGGGGUACUGAAUGUAAUCAAACUCCGAAUGCCAUGGUUGUAUGCUCAGGAGUCAGCGUAUGGGUGAUAACGUCCAUGCGCGAAAGGAAAAGAGUCCGGAUCGCCAGUUAAGGUCCCAAAAUUUGUACUAAGUGGGAAAGGAUGUGGAGUUGUCAAAACAGCUAGGAGGUUGGCUCAGAAGCAGCCAUCCUUUAAAGAGUGCGUAAUAGCUCACUAGUCGAGUGACACUGCGCCGAAGAUGUACCGGGGCUAAGUACAAUACCGAAAUUGCGGAUUUACACAUAAGUGUAAGUGGUAGGGGAGCGUUCCAAGGGCGUUGAAGGUUGACCGUGAGGACAGCUGGAGCGCUUGGAAGUGAGAAUGCCGGUGUGAGUAGCGCAAGAUGGGUGAGAAUCCCAUCCACCGUUUGCCUAAGGUUUCCUGGGCGAGGUUCGUCCUCCCAGGGUUAGUCGGGUCCUAAGACGAGGCCGAGAGGCGUAGCCGAUGGACAACAGGUUGAUAUUCCUGUACUAUCUAUAAGACUGAUGGAGUGACGGAGAAAGAUAGGAAGAGCCAGUUAAUGGAUUCUGGUCUAAGCACAAAGGUUGAUAAAAAGGGAAAUCCGUUUAUCGUUCAACUGAAGUGUGAUGGUGAAGUACCUAGUACGAAAUCUUCUGACUCUAUGCUUCCAAGAAAAGCUUCUAGGGUUAAUCUUAUAGAUACCCGUACCGAGAACCGACACAGGUGGGCAAGGAGAGUAUCCUAAGGUGAGCGAGAGAACUAUGGUUAAGGAACUCGGCAAAAUAACCCCGUAACUUCGGGAGAAGGGGUGGUCACUAGAUGACCGACACUAAAGACGCCCAGGCAACUGUUUACCAAAAACACAGGUCUCUGCUAAGUCGUAAGACGAUGUAUAGGGGCUGACACCUGCCCAGUGCUGGAAGGUUAAGAGGAGUGCUUAGAUAGACUAAGGUCGAUGAUUCGAAGGUACGAAUUGAAGCCCCAGUGAACGGCGGCCGUAACUAUAACGGUCCUAAGGUAGCGAAAUUCCUUGUCAGGUAAGUUCUGACCCGCA